GUGAAUUACCAUAGGGCCAUA
rnacentral:miRNA from 1 species